CUCCAUCUUCUAUUGUCGAGAAGUGUUGAAGAAGAGGCUCUAGAUCGUGGCAAGCUGACAUUGGUGCUCAUCGAAGGUCGUGAAGGUGGCAGCCAUGAUGUGUCCUCUUAUCAUUGGUGCUCGUUGGCGGCGUACGGCAGCAACCAUGAUGUCGUUGAUUCAUGAUUCAUGGGAUCAUUGCCAUAUUGGUCUUUCCUACCAAAGGACGUCUUUCCCUCCAUUUGGGCAUUGUUUCGAUCGAUCGAUUAUCCAAGAAAUACCAUCUCUAAUUUUUCGCUGACCACCUGUUUGACGAAAUUCUAAGGCACUUUCUGACCCACAUUUUCUCUCAGGUCUUUCAUCAAAUGAGGAGCAUUAUAGACAUAAAGAAGAGUAUGAGAUAAAGCAUGAACGGGGCAAUGAGGAGGUGAUAAUACUGUUGAGUCUCCCUAAAAGAGAAGAGCUGCUGUGUAUAGGGAGGAGAUGGGCAAGUAUGAUGGUGAAUGUUAUGGAUCCCCAAAUAAUAUCAAAAUAAAUUUUUAUGAGUUUGAACAUUCAUUAUGUUUGUCAAACUAAUAAUAUUUUAUAUAGCAGGAGAAGCAUAUAAUGUUUGGAUCAAAUGAGUCACCGUAAGAUUUAAAGUGCCAAGCCACUAGUAAGAAGUAGCCUUCUGAAAAUUGUGAGGGUGUGGAGAAAGCUCCUUCUAAAAUUUAUGAGGGUACAGAGAAAGGUCAAGUGCAAGGCCACAAUCAGUUUUUAGAGGUCCUGUUCCCCAUGAAUAACACGAGUGACCAUUGGUGGCUGGUUGUGAUGCAUGUACGCAAGAAGCGGCUAGGCAUACAAUAUUAUAUGAAUAUCACAGUUAAAUGUUCACAUGAUUUGGGGGUUGUAAUGGCUGAUUUGGAUGUUACAUCAUAGCCUAUUGAGAACCAUGCUGGAAGUUUUGUUUGAUUAGAUCAUUAUGAAAGAUCAAAGAUUGUUCGUUCAGAUGGUGUAAUAUGACAAGAUCAAAGCAGGCACAACCUUAAUUAUAGAAAGUGGCUUCUUCUUGCUUGUUGUAAAUGCAAUGCAUGUCUCGUUUUCUUAUUAAUGUUGGUAAUACUAAUUUUGGUUACAUGCAUUCUAUGUGGAUAGCAUAUUUUAUAUGUAUAAUCUUUCAAAAUAUUACCUCGAACAAUGUAUAAAUCUAUUCGUCAUGUAUGACAUUUGAGAAGGUUUUAUGUAAUGAAAGAUUAGCUUUUUGAUAAGUUUUUGGAUGGAAAAAUCAGAGGCUGAAA